rnacentral:rRNA from 1 species
CGCACGGGUGAGUAACACGUAUGGAACCUGCCCUAUGCAGGGGGAUAAGCGGAAGAAAUUCCGUCUAAUACCGCAUGUGGCCGAGGGGAGGCAUCUUCUUUCGGCCAAAGGAGGCGACUCCGGAGACGGAUGGGCAUGCGUGACAUUAGCUAGUUGGCGGGGUAACGGCCCACCAAGGCGACGAUGUCUAGGGGUUCUGAGAGGAAGGUCCCCCACACUGGUACUGAGACACGGACCAGACUCCUACGGAAGGCAGCAG